AGUAUUCAGGUGAGAACGUUGAAGGUCGAGGUGAAGACGGGUUCUAUGGGAACAGCAGUUGGCCAUGAGUCAGGCCGUCCUAAGCGAUCCGGAGACUCGGUACAGGGUCGCGGGGUGCCUUGUACGUUUUGGUGAUGAUUUGAUGUGUCUAAAUUGUGUGCUACAUGAGUGUGGAUGCUGGCAGGCCCUUGGAGAGAAAUUGAAUCGUGUUACUAUUCCGAACCUGUUCACGGCGAUAAGUGAUGCAUGUGUGCUUGCAUCGACGCGUGUGAUCUCGGAUGCAUGUGCUUGCAUGAUGUGAGUUACUGGCAUCAUGAAGAGCGCCAACUCAAACGAACUGGGUGACUUUGGCAAGAGUUCCGGGAAGAGUUUUCUUCCCUUUGUAAGGACAGCUACCAACAAUGGAAUCGAGUAAUACGGAGAUGGGGGCCUCGCCUCUGUAAAACACCACCCCUCUUAUAUUGUCCGGCACGCUCCUAUCGGCCCACUACUAUCCGAGGAAGUCAUUGUGAUUUUCGUAGCAGACCGUACCCGUAUCCGCAUCAAAUCUCCAAGGUGAGGAGCCUCUGGUA
rnacentral:ncRNA from 1 species